rnacentral:rRNA from 1 species
UACGUAGGUGGCGAGCGUUGUCCGGAUUUACUGGGUGUAAAGGGCGUGUAGGCGGAGAAACAAGUCAGAUGUGAAAUUCCAGGGCUUAACCCUGGCCGUGCAUUUGAAACUGUUUCCCUUGAGUAUCGGAGAGGCAGGCGGAAUUCCUAGUGUAGCGGUGAAAUGCAUAGAUAUUAGGAGGAACACCAGUGGCGAAGGCGGCCUGCUGGACGACAACUGACGCUGAGGCGCGAAAGCGUGGGGAGCAAACAGGAUUAGAUACCCUGGUAGUCCACGCUGUAAACGAUGAAUACUAGGUGUGGGGGGACUGACCCCUUCCGUGCCGGAGUAAACGCAAUAAGUAUUCCACCUGGGGAGUACGAUCGCAAGAUUGAA